rnacentral:rRNA from 1 species
AGCGAACGCUGGCGGCAGGCUUAACACAUGCAAGUCGAACGCUCGUAGCAAUACGAGAGUGGCAGACGGGUGAGUAACGCGUGGGAACGUACCCUUCAGUUCGGAAUAACCCGGGGAAACUCGGGCUAAUACCGGAUACGUCCGUAAGGAGAAAGAUUUAUCGCUGAAGGAUCGGCCCGCGUCGGAUUAGCUAGUUGGUGAGGUAACGGCUCACCAAGGCGAUGAUCCGUAGCUGGUCUGAGAGGACGAUCAGCCACACUGGGACUGAGACACGGCCCAGACUCCUACGGGAGGCAGCAGUGGGGAAUAUUGGACAAUGGGCGCAAGCCUGAUCCAGCCAUGCCGCGUGAGUGAUGAAGGCCUUAGGGUUGUAAAGCUCUUUUACCAGGGAAGAUAAUGACGGUACCUGGAGAAUAAGCCCCGGCUAACUUCGUGCCAGCCGCCGCCGUAAAAC